UACAGAGGUCCCAAGCGUUGUUCGGAUUCACUGGGCGUAAAGGGUGCGUAGGUGGUGGGGUAAGUUUGAUGUGAAAUCUCCGAGCUUAACUCGGAAAUGGCAUUGAAUACUACUCUGCUAGAGGGUCGGAGGGGAGACUGGAAUUUUCGGUGUAGCAGUGAAAUGCGUGGAUAUCGAAAGGAACACCAGUGGCGAAAGCGAGUCUCUGGACGACUCCUGACACUGAGGCACGAAAGCUAGGGGAGCAAACAGG
rnacentral:rRNA from 1 species